rnacentral:misc_RNA from 1 species
AACGGUCUAUACCUGCGGUACCUGCGGAAGGAUCAUUAACGUAUCUCUGGCGCGCGCCGGUGCGCCCUGCCGCGGCGAAAGCUGCGCGGGUUCCCGGUGCCGUCCAACCUUAACACAAACCCACUGUGCACAUUUGCGGCGGAGGGCCUCGGAUGACUCUCUUAAGUUAGCCAAAUGCCUCGUCAUCUAAUUAGUGACGCGCAUGAAUGGAUUGUGCUCUGGUGUCCGCAUCGAUAACUG